rnacentral:piRNA from 1 species
AUCGAGAAAUUCAACUCUAGAUC